GUGUCCUUAGUACAGUGGUUAGUACACUUGACCUGGAUAUAGAGACAUGGGUUCAAGUUCAACUCCCAUAGGACACA
rnacentral:tRNA from 1 species